rnacentral:tRNA from 2 species
GCGGGGAUAGCUCAGCUGGGAGAGCGUCAGACUGAAGUCAACUUCAUCAUCCAUCUGAAGGCCGUGUGUUCGAUCCACACUCACCGCA